AGUGAACGCUGGCGGUAGGCCUAACACAUGCAAGUCGAACGGCAGCACAGUAAGAGCUUGCUCUUACGGGUGGCGAGUGGCGGACGGGUGAGGAAUACAUCGGAAUCUACUUUUUCGUGGGGGAUAACGUAGGGAAACUUACGCUAAUACCGCAUACGACCUGCGGGUGAAAGCAGGGGAUCUUCGGGCCUUGCGCGAUUGAAUGAGCCGAUGUCGGAUUAGCUAGUUGGCGGGGUAAAGGCCCACCAAGGCGACGAUCCGUAGCUGGUCUGAGAGGAUGAUCAGCCACACUGGAACUGAGACACGGUCCAGACUCCUACGGGAGGCAGCAGUGGGGAAUAUUGGACAAUGGGCGCAAGCCUGAUCCAGCCAUACCGCGUGGGUGAAGAAGGCCUUCGGGUUGUAAAGCCCUUUUGUUGGGAAAGAAAAGCAGCAGGUUAAUACCCCGCUGUUCUGACGGUACCCAAAGAAUAAGCACCGGCUAACUUCGUG
rnacentral:rRNA from 1 species